rnacentral:lncRNA from 1 species
AUGGCUAUGUAAAGUAUUGAUAUUAGAGGUCGGUCAUUUAAAGACGUAUCAACCGUAUCAUAUACGUUGACGUAUCCGCAUCUGCAGAUAUACCAAAAAACAGUAUAUGAUCCCGAGCUUUAAUUUCAUGUACUUUCAAUAAUGCAAAUGGGCGACUGAUUAAUUUCUAAUGCAGAAAUUUACAAAACAAUAAGGAAAUAUCGAGUUUUUGUGGAAUAUGUAACCCUGCUUUUAAAGAUAUUCCGGAUAGUUGGAACAGUUUACAGGCAUGAUAGGAGUGAAUACGGUAAAAUCGUUACUUUGUUUGUGUAUGAACUUGCGCUCACGUAGAACCAAAUUGUUAAUUGACAAAUAGAGUGAUACUCAGUACUUUCUAUUACCUUUUAUGAUAAAAUCGCAAAUGAACAAUAUUCAAAGUUCCUUACAUGUAUAUAAGUAGUACAUCGAUUUUUGUUGGUGUUUAUUCAUAUAAGAUCUUGAAAUAUUUUUUAACUAGAUUAUUAAAGGAUUUUGUACGAUAUUCGUGUACCUGCCCUACAUUGGCUCCUUUUAAAGGGCAAGUAAAGUAGUUGAUAGAACCCCGUAUUUUUUUUUACAAAACACCACUAUCACAAAUAUUGAAAGUGUAUGUUUGAUUGUUUCGAAGAGAUUCCAAUUAGUUUUUUUUAAAUGAAGUAUGGUCUUAUUAAUAAGCUCGGGAUCACAUAAUAGUUUUUGAUAUAUCUGCAGAUGCGGAUACGUCAACGUAUACGAUACGGUUGAUACGUUUGUAAAUGACCGACCUCUAAUAUAAGAUACACACUAUAAUCUAACUCAUAGAACACACAGUAUACUAAUUGAUAAUAUGUUUUUUUUAUAAAUA